rnacentral:rRNA from 1 species
UACGGGGGGGGCAAGCGUUGUUCGGAAUUACUGGGCGUAAAGGGCCAGUAGGCGGCCAACUAAGUCCGACGUGAAAUCCCCAGGCUUAACCUGGGAACUGCGUCGGAUACUGGAUGGCUUGAAUUCGGGAGAGGGAUGCAGAAUUCCAGGUGUAGCGGUGAAAUGCGUAGAUAUCAGGAGGAACACCGGUGGCGAAGGCGGGUCUCUGGGCCGUAACUGACGCUGAGGAGCGAAAGCGUGGGGAGCGAACAGG